GGACCGCCGAGAAUGGGCCUCCGCGCCCGC
rnacentral:sRNA from 1 species